UACAGAGGGUGCGAGCGUUGUCCGGAAUCACUGGGCGUAAAGGGCGCGUAGGUGGCGCGGGCAGUCAACGGUGAAAGUUCGGGGCUCAACCCUGAAUCGGCCGUCGAUACUCCCGGGCUGGAGCACUGUAGAGGCUAAUGGAAUUCCGGGUGUAGCGGUGGAAUGCGUAGAGAUGCGGAGGAACACCGAUGGCGAAGGCAGCCCCCUGGGCUAACACUGACGCUGAGGCACGAAAGCGUGGGGAGCAAACAGG
rnacentral:rRNA from 1 species